CACGUAGGCGGAUCGGAAAGUUGGGGGUGAAAUCCCGGGGCUCAACCCCGGAACGGCCUCCAAAACUAUCGGUCUAGAGUUCGAGAGAGGUGAGUGGAAUUCCGAGUGUAGAGGUGAAAUUCGUAGAUAUUCGGAGGAACACCAGUGGCGAAGGCGGCUCACUGGCUCGAUACUGACGCUGAGGUGCGAAAGUGUGGGGAGCAAAACA
rnacentral:rRNA from 1 species